rnacentral:ncRNA from 2 species
CAAGAAGUAGUUUAAUUAGAAUACCA